rnacentral:tRNA from 1 species
AACGGGGUAGAGUAACUGGUUUAACUCAUUAGGCUCAUGAUCUAAAGUCGUAGGUUCAAAUCCUUCCCCCGUAA